rnacentral:rRNA from 1 species
GAUGAACGCUGGCGGCGUGCCUAAUACAUGCAAGUCGAGCGAACAGAUGAGGAGCUUGCUCCUCUGACGUUAGCGGCGGACGGGUGAGUAACACGUGGAUAACCUACCUAUAAGACUGGGAUAACUUCGGGAAACCGGAGCUAAUACCGGAUAAUAUAUUGAACCGCAUGGUUCGAUAGUGAAAGACGGUUUUGCUGUCACUUAUAGAUGGAUCCGCGCCGCAUUAGCUAGUUGGUAAGGUAACGGCUUACCAAGGCGACGAUGCGUAGCCGACCUGAGAGGGUGAUCGGCCACACUGGAACUGAGACACGGUCCAGACUCCUACGGGAGGCAGCAGUAGGGAAUCUUCCGCAAUGGGCGAAAGCCUGACGGAGCAACGCCGCGUGAGUGAUGAAGGUCUUCGGAUCGUAAAACUCUGUUAUUAGGGAAGAACAAAUGUGUAAGUAACUAUGCACGUCUUGACGGUACCUAAUCAGAAAGCCACGGCUAACUACGUG